rnacentral:rRNA from 1 species
AGGCUUAACACAUGCAAGUCGAGCGCCCCGCAAGGGGAGCGGCAGACGGGUGAGUAACGCGUGGGAACGUACCCUUUACUACGGAAUAACGCAGGGAAACUUGUGCUAAUACCGUAUGUGCCCUUCGGGGGAAAGAUUUAUCGGUAAAGGAUCGGCCCGCGUUGGAUUAGCUAGUUGGUGGGGUAAAGGCCUACCAAGGCGACGAUCCAUAGCUGGUCUGAGAGGAUGAUCAGCCACAUUGGGACUGAGACACGGCCCAAACUCCUACGGGAGGCAGCAGUGGGGAAUAUUGGACAAUGGGCGCAAGCCUGAUCCAGCCAUGCCGCGUGAGUGAUGAAGGCCCUAGGGUUGUAAAGCUCUUUCACCGGAGAAGAUAAUGACGGUAUCCGGAGAAGAAGCCCCGGCUAACUUCGUGCCAGCAGCCGCGGUAAUACGAAGGGGGCUAGCGUUGUUCGGAAUUACUGGGGCGUAAAGCGCACGUAGGCGGAUUGAUCAGUCAGGGGUGAAAUCCCAGGGCUCAACCCUGGAACUGCCUUUGAUACUGUCGAUCUGGAGUAUGGAAGAGGUGAGUGGAAUU